rnacentral:rRNA from 1 species
UACGAAGGGGGGUAGCGUUGUUCGGAUUUACUGGGCGUAAAGCGCAUGUAGGCGGGUCGUUAAGUUGGGGGUGAAAACCCGAGGCUCAACCUCGGAACUGCCUUGAAAACUGGCGGCCUGGAGCAAGAUAGAGGCAAGGGGAAUUGCUUGUGUAGAGGUGAAAUUAGUAGAUAUUCGGAGGAACACCAGUGGCGAAGGCGGCUCACUGGAUCGUUACUGACGCUGAUGUGAGAAAGCUUGGGGAGCAAACAGG